GACGUAGGGGCGCGAGCGUUUGUCCGGAUUUAUUGGGCGUAAAGAGCUCGUAGGCGGCUCGUUGCGUCGGCUGUGAAAACCCGCAGCUCAACUGUGGGCUUGCAGCUGAUACGGGCGGGCUGGGAUUCGGUAGGGGAGACUGGAAUUCCUGGUGUAGCGGUGAAAUGCGCAGAUAUCAGGAGGAACACCGGUGGCGAAGGCGGGUCUCUGGGCCGAUAUCGACGCUGAGGAGCAAAAGCGUGGGGAGCGAACAGG
rnacentral:rRNA from 1 species